rnacentral:misc_RNA from 1 species
AAUCCGUGCCCCGUCGUGCUCGGAUUUGAACUCGAUACCUUGCGUGUGAACUACUAACACAAAUCGUCUUGUUCCGUGCACUCCAAGGGAGAGAGUGUGCAUGGAAGCUUGCCCGAACUGUCCCCAAUUCGUCCAAGAUUCCCUCCGCCGAGGAAUCUAACGAGUCUUCCAUACCGCCCUUAAGUGGCGCUGUAGUCGAUCAGAUCUCUAAGAUCUACGCGGAGCCUCAACUUCGCGCCAGUCAAAUCCAACUCGACAAGAACGCCGAGCCACCUUGGGAUCCAGAUCCGAAAGCCUGAGACGUCAACUCUGUUCUUCAAUCGCUUCCCGUUCUGCCGACUGACCGACUCUCUCUCUUCACAUCUAUAACCUUUUCUUCAUUUUCUAUUCAAUCGCCCAGUAGCGUGCGUACGAGCCGGUAAUCAAUAGACCGCCUCGUUUCGCCCGUUUUCCUGGUCUUCCGUCAAUUAUCAAAAUUUCGACGGUGACCUCAUCUCAUUCCUCGUCUCCAGCCCGUCUCUGUCCUCCGGACGACGUCUCGUGGAUCUCGCGUGAAGAGCUCGCAUCGCGUGUUUCCAACAACCGUCACAUCCCGCCAUAACUUGGCACAUUCAAUUUCCCCAUUAAACAACAAAUCGAUAUAAAAUAACUGAUGGUGAGACACCGCCUUCCUUCGUCUACCUACUACACUCCGGCUGGCGAGCCGGAAUGGUCUCGUGAGAUGUUCGGUGAGCAAUCGAUUGCCGUUCUCUCUGGAGCCUACCGUAAUCCAAUCGAAAUGGCUCGCCACGUCGCCGCUCGUUGUGGUUCCUAUCAACCAUUUUUUGUGAUGGAUGUCGCUGCCAUCGAACGACGUCUUGAAGCACUUCGUGUGAUGCUUCCAAGAGUUCGUCCCAACUAUGCAGUCGCUUGUAAUGCUGAUCCAGUGUUGGCUAGAGUUCUCUCGAACAACAUCGAUGUCAACUUUGAAGUGUCGAAUACUGCAGAACUCGAGUUAGUCAGCAUGAAUGUCGAACCAUCGAGAGCAGUUUUCUGCUCACAACUGAUGACUCGUAAAGCUAUCAAAAAUGCUGUUUUGGCUGGAUGCUCCACUUUUGUUGUAGAAAGCGAGAAACAAGUUACCGAUGUGAUGAAUGCAUCACCAGAAGCUGAAAUCAUCCUAGCUGUCUGUCUUCCAUACUCGACUGGAGAAGUUCCAUUCGGAUGCUCAGUUGAUGAGAUUGAGGAGAUUCUAGAUAUGGCUCAUCUUCUUGGUGCAAAUGUUACCGGAAUCUAUCUCGAACUUGGACUUCGUGCCACCCUGGAGGACUACAUCACAUCAGUUCACGAUGCUCGCUCGAUCUUCGAAACUGCUGAUCAAAAGUUCCUGACACUCCGUCGUGUCUGCUUUGGGAAUCUCUCUGUUCCAAUUACUAUUCUGGAAAAGAAUGCUGGCAAAAACUAAUCCACAAAGAUGAACAACGCCGUUCUCCAUCGCCAAGUGUCAGUGACAACGAAGAUAUUGGAAGUGAUGGUGAAGGUGGCUACGCAUCUUCAUGUGAGGAUUCGGAGGCGGAGAUGGCUUUGGAGCCAUUGAUCGAGGAUUUGAACGAAUUCUUUUGAUUGUUCCUAAGACUCCCCUGCUCAUCCUGGAGACACAAAUAAUAUUCAAAUAUUCCCCAUUUAUAUUUCAAAAACUUUCUAGGUCAUUUUUCUUCUUUUAAUUCCUAUUUUCUAUUUCUCGAAACCUGUCCGUGAUCCAAUCUGUCUUUUUCAAACUAAAAAAUCUUGAUUCCAAUUUUUUUCUCUCGAUUUCUCUUUUUUUGCUCUUUCGGAUUGUGUUAUAUUCCUGAUUUCCUGAAUUUUUUCCUGAAAUUUCAUAUGUUUCCUGACCACGAAAUUUGAAUUUGAAUUCGAAUUCCUUUGAAAAAAGAAAUAAAGGUCGAAGAAGUUAAAA